rfam:Bacillus pseudofirmus OF4, complete genome.
CUUUGCCUGCCGUGUUAGUGAGCUUUUUCUUGUUUCGAACCUUGCGUUUUAAAAGGGAGUUCUACAUCGAGCUAAUGCCAGCAAGCCAGUUUAUGCUGGACGCUGAAAUUAGUUCUGCGAACACCCACCUACUUGAGUAGGUUCAUGAAACAACUGAAGCAACGGCAUUCGCGGGUAUAUA